rnacentral:rRNA from 1 species
UACGGGGGGGGCAAGCGUUGUUCGGAAUUACUGGGCGUAAAGGGCGCGUAGGCGGCCUGCUAAGUCGGACGUGAAAUCCCUCGGCUCAACCGAGGAACUGCGUCCGAUACUGGUGGGCUUGAAUCCGGGAGAGGGAUGUGGAAUUCCAGGUGUAGCGGUGAAAUGCGUAGAUAUCAGGAGGAACACCGGUGGCGAAGGCGGCUACCUGGACAGAAACUGACGCUGAGGCGCGAAAGCUAGGGGAGCAAACAGG